GCUGGGAUGGGUAGGGGAGCGUCGUGUGCCGGGUGAAGCAGCCGCGGAAGCGAGUUGUGGACGGUUCACGAGUGAGAAUGCAGGCAUGAGUAGCGAUACAAACGUGAGAAACGUUUGCGCCGAUUGACUAAGGGUUCCUGGGUCAAGCUGAUCUGCCCAGGGUAAGUCGGGACCUAAGGCGAGGCCGACAGGCGUAGUCGAUGGAUAACCGGUUGAUAUUCCGGUACCCGCUGUGAAGCGUCAAACAUUGAACCAGGCGAUGCUAAGUCCGUGAAGCCGUUCCGGACCCUUCGGGGAAAGGAAAGUGGUGGAGCCGACGGACCAGACUUGCAGUAGGUGAGUGAUGGGGUGACGCAGGAAGGUAGUCCAUCCCGGGCGGUGGUAGUCCCGGGGUAAGGGUGUAGGCCGUGCGAUAGGUAAAUCCGUCGUACUUGUGGCUGAGACCUGAUGCCGAGCCGAUUGUGGUGAAGUGGAUGAUCCUAUGCUGUCGAGAAAAGCCUCUAGCGAGUUUCAUGGCGGCCCGUACCCUAAACCGACUCAGGUGGUCAGGUAGAGAAUACCGAGGCGUUCGGGUGAACUAUGGUUAAGGAACUCGGCAAAAUGCCCCCGUAACUUCGGGAGAAGGGGGGCCAUCACUGGUGAGGGAACUUGCUUCCUGAGCUGGGGGUGGCCGCAGAGACCAGCGAGAAGCGACUGUUUACUAAAAACACAGGUCCGUGCGAAGCCGUAAGGCGAUGUAUACGGACUGACGCCUGCCCGGUGCUGGAACGUUAAGGGGACCGGUUAGUCACAUUUCGGUGUGGCGAAGCUGAGAACUUAAGCGCCAGUAAACGGCGGUGGUAACUAUAACCAUCCUAAGGUAGCGAAAUUCCUUGUCGGGUAAGUUCCGACCUGCACGAAUGGCGUAACGACUUCUCGACUGUCUCAACCAUAGGCCCGGUGAAAUUGCACUACGAGUAAAGAUGCUCGUUUCGCGCAGCAGGACGGAAAGACCCCGGGACCUUUACUACAGUUUGAUAUUGGUGUUCGGUUCGGCUUGUGUAGGAUAGCUGGGAGACUUUGAAGCGGCCACGCCAGUGGUUGUGGAGUCGUCGUUGAAAUACCAGUCUGGUCGUGCUGGAUGUCUAACCUGGGUCCGUGAUCCGGAUCAGGGACAGUGUCUGAUGGGUAGUUUAACUGGGGCGGUUGCCUCCUAAAGAGUAACGGAGGCGCCCAAAGGUUCCCUCAGCCUGGUUGGCAAUCAGGUGUUGAGUGUAAGUGCACAAGGGAGCUUGACUGUGAGACCGACGGGUCGAGCAGGGACGAAAGUCGGGACUAGUGAUCCGGCGGUGGCUUGUGGAAGCGCCGUCGCUCAACGGAUAAAAGGUACCCCGGGGAUAACAGGCUGAUCUUCCCCAAGAGUCCAUAUCGACGGGAUGGUUUGGCACCUCGAUGUCGGCUCGUCGCAUCCUGGGGCUGGAGUCGGUCCCAAGGGUUGGGCUGUUCGCCCAUUAAAGCGGUACGCGAGCUGGGUUUAGAACGUCGUGAGACAGUUCGGUCCCUAUCCGCUGCGCGCGCAGGAAUAUUGAGAAGGGCUGUCCCUAGUACGAGAGGACCGGGACGGACGAACCUCUGGUGUGCCAGUUGUCCUGCCAAGGGCAUGGCUGGUUGGCUACGUUCGGGAGGGAUAACCGCUGAAAGCAUCUAAGCGGGAAGCCUGCUUCGAGAUGAGUAUUCCCACCCACUUGAUGGGGUAAGGCUCCCAGUAGACGACUGGGUUGAUAGGCCAGAUAUGGAAGCCUGGUAACGGGUGGAGUUGACUGGUACUAAUAGGCCGAGGGCUUGUCCUC
rnacentral:rRNA from 1 species